rnacentral:rRNA from 1 species
ACGGAAGGCAGCAGUGGGGAAUAUUGGACAAUGGGGGAAAUCCUGAUCCAGCGACGCCGCGUGAGUGAAGAAGUAUUUCGGUAUGUAAAGCUCUAUCAGCAAGGAAGAAAAUGACGGUACUUGACUAAGAAGCUCCGGCUAAAUACGUGCCAGCAGCCGCGGUAAUACGUAUGGAGCAAGCGUUAUCCGGAUUUACUGGGUGUAAAGGGAGCGUAGACGGCAAAGCAAGUCUGAAGUGAAAUCCCGGGGCUCAACCCCGGAACUGCUUUGGAAACUGUUUAGCUAGAGUGCAGGGGAGGUAAGCGGAAUUCCUAGUGUAGCGGUGAAAUGCGUAGAUAUUAGGAGGAACACCAGUGGCGAAGGCGGCUUACUGGACUGUAACUGACGUUGAGGCUCGAAAGCGUGGGGAGCAAACAGGAUUAGAUACCCUGGUA